AAUAGAUACCCCGGUAGUCCACGCCGUAAACGAUGAGUGCUAAGUGUUAGGGGGUUUCCGCCCCUUAGUGCUGCAGCUAACGCAUUAAGCACUCCGCCUGGGGAGUACGGUCGCAAGACUGAAACUCAAAGGAAUUGACGGGGGCCCGCACAAGCGGUGGAGCAUGUGGUUUAAUUCGAAGCAACGCGAAGAACCUUACCAGGUCUUGACAUCCCACUGACCGCUAUGGAGACAUAGCUUUCCCUUCGGGGACAGUGGUGACAGGUGGUGCAUGGUUGUCGUCAGCUCGUGUCGUGAGAUGUUGGGUUAAGUCCCGCAACGAGCGCAACCCUUGAUCUUAGUUGCCAUCAUUUAGUUGGGCACUCUAAGGUGACUGCCGGUGACAAACCGGAGGAAGGUGGGGAUGACGUCAAAUCAUCAUGCCCCUUAUGACCUGGGCUACACACGUGCUACAAUGGACGGUAUAAACGGUUGUCAACCCGGCGAGGGGGAGCUAAUCCGAUAAAACCGUUCUCAGUUCGGAUUGUAGGCUGCAACUCGCCUAC
rnacentral:rRNA from 1 species